GAUGAACGCUGGCGGCGUGCCUAUACCUGCAAGUUGAGCGGACGGACCGGAAGCUUUGUUCUCCGAUUUUAACGGCGGACGGGGGGGGUACCAGGUGGAAACCUACCUAUAAGACCGGGAUAACCUUGGGAAACCGGAGCUAAAUCCGGAUUAUAUUUUGAACCCCCAGGUUCCAAAGUGAAAGACGGUCUUUCCUUCACUUUUUGGUUGAUCCGCGCUGCAUUAGCUAGUUGGUAAGGUAACGGCUUACCAAGGCAACGAUGCAUAGCCGACCUGAGAGGGUGAUCGGCCACACUGGAACUGAGACACGGUCCAGACUCCUACGGGAGGCAGCAGUAGGGAAUCUUCCGCAAUGGGCGAAAGCCUGACGGAGCAACGCCGCGUGAGUGAUGAAGGUCUUCGGAUCGUAAAACUCUGUUAUUAGGGAAGAACAUAUGCGUAAGUAACUGUGCACAUCUUGACGGUACCUAAUCAGAAAGCCACGGCUAACUACGUG
rnacentral:rRNA from 1 species